rnacentral:misc_RNA from 1 species
UUGUUUUUGUUACAAUGAUUUACAUUCAUUACACUAAUGUUUUUGGUGUUUGCGCCCGGGGCCCGAGAGCCCCAAGAUGUACAGUUCACGGUGUGUGUGGAAUAGACACGGCCAGAGGCCAAUCUCUAAUGAUCCUUCCGCAGGUUCACCUACGGAAA